rnacentral:rRNA from 1 species
CAGUAGCCGCGGUAAUACAGAGGAUGCAAGCGUUAUCCGGAAUGAUUGGGCGUAAAGCGUCUGUAGGUGGCUUUUCAAGUCCGCCGUCAAAUCCCCGGGCUUAACCUGGGAACUGCGCUUGUGACUGCACAGCUAGAGUAUGGCAGAGGGGGGUGGAAUUCCACGUGUAGCAGUGAAAUGCGUAGAGAUGUGGAGGAACACCGAUGGCGAAGGCAGCCCCCUGGGCCAAUACUGACGCUCAUGCACGAAAGCGUGGGGAGCAAACAGGAUUAGAUACCCCAGUAGUCCCUGUCUCUUAUAC